rnacentral:rRNA from 1 species
AACGAACGCUGGCGGCAGGCUUAACACAUGCAAGUCGAACGCAUCCUUCGGGGUGAGUGGCAGACGGGUGAGUAACGCGUGGGAACGUGCCCUUCAGUUCGGGAUAACCCAGGGAAACUUGGGCUAAUACCGGAUACGUGCGAGAGCAGAAAGGUUUAACGCUGAAGGAGCGGCCCGCGUCUGAUUAGCUAGUUGGUGGGGUAAUGGCCCACAAAGGCGACGAUCAGUAGCUGGUCUGAGAGGAUGAGCAGCCACAUCGGGACUGAGACACGGCCCAAACGCCUACGGGGGGCAGCAGUGGGGAAUAUUGGACAAUGGGCGGAAGCCUGAUCCAGCCAUGCCGCGUGAGUGAUGAAGGCCUUAGGGUUGUAAAGCUCUUUCGUCCGGGACGAUAAUGACGGUACCGGAAGAAGAAGCCCCGGCUAACUUCGUGCCAGCAGCCGCCGUAA